rnacentral:lncRNA from 1 species
GGCCAAGUGUCCUUGCUGUGGACUUGUAUCCAAAAAUCAAAAUAUCUAUUGAAAAAAGAAAAACCAUUGUAUUCUAAACCUGUGGUAACUUUGGCAAGUGAUGAAAACUGCCUAUGUAAGAGGUUGUUGACUGCUUUUCUAAACCAGAGUAAAAUUUUUGUCUGAAAUCUUGGUGGACAUAUCUUAGUUUGUAUGUCUGCUGUAAGGCCGGACAUAUACAGGGGGCGCUGUCAUUCCAUAUGGCUGACUCAAGACAUAGUCUGCUGUGGAUGAUGGAGCACAAAGUUGGGGUCAGGGAUUGUUAUGGGAUGCAUUGUGGGAAGGGUGUUAAUACAAGUAGUCAAUGGUCUAUGAGCUCUGUCUUUAGUAAUCUGAUGCCAA